rnacentral:rRNA from 1 species
CCUACGGGGGGCAGCAGUGAGGAAUAUUGGUCAAUGGUCGGGAGACUGAACCAGCCAAGCCGCGUGAGGGAUGACGGUACAGAGUAUCGUAAACCUCUUUUGUCAGGGAACAAAGGCGGGGACGUGUCCCCGGAUGAGUGUACCUGAAGAAAAAGCAUCGGCUAACUCCGUGCCAGCAGCCGCGGUAAUACGGAGGAUGCGAGCGUUAUCCGGAUUUAUUGGGGUUAAAGGGUGCGCAGGCGGUGUGUGAAGUUAGCGGUCAAAGCCCGGGGCUCAACCCCGGCCCGCCGUUGAAACUGGCAGUCGCGAGUUGGAGAGAAGUAUGCGGAAUGCGCGGUGUAGCGGUGAAAUGCAUAGAUAUCGCGCAGAACUCCGAUUGCGAAGGCAGCAUGCCGGCUCCACACUGACGCUGAGGCACGAAAGCGUGGGUAUCGAACAGGAUUAGAUACCCUUGUAGUC